UACGUAGGGUGCGAGCGUUAAUCGGAAUUACUGGGCGUAAAGCGUGCGCAGGCGGUUCGUUGUGUCGGCGGUGAAAGCCCCGGGCUUAACCUGGGAAUGGCCGUCGAAACUGCAAAGCUUGAAUGUUGGAGAGGUUGGGGGAAUACCUAAUGGAGAAGUGAAAUUCGUAGAGAUUAGGUGGAACACCAGAGGCGAAGGCGCCUGACUGGCCAAACAUUGACGCUAAGGCGCGAAAGCGUGGGUAGCAAACAGG
rnacentral:rRNA from 1 species